UCCCGGUUCCGGGCCCAGCAUACCCGACCUACAUGAGACGAUCACCUGACCUCGUCUUCCUCAUUUUGGCCACUAGAUGGCCUGCAUCUGCCCGUGUCGGCUGUUAUGCCCCCUCUCCCCAUCAAAUUAAACUUAGCCGGACAUUCUUUUCCUUCAAUAUGCAUCUCCAUUUAGUUAAUUACGUUAUCUUGCACGUGAGCAUUGCUUCACCAGGAUGCGUUUUAUUUACUUUACCAACAUUAAAGAACAGGCGACGAAAAAAUGCAAAGUUAUUGCCAGUCGCCGCAAACAAUAAAAACAAGAAAGUAGUUAUGAGGCAAUCGUUGCACCGA